CCUGGAGGCCUAAGAAAGUGGAGUCAUUGAAGUCAAGCUGACUCUUCUGAUACUAGCCUCCUAAAUGAAAAGGUGGUUGGAACAGGGCCUCUCUUCAAGAUGAAUUCAGGUCCUACUUCAUCAACCAACACAA
ensembl:snoRNA